UGGGGAAUAUUGGACAAUGGGCGAAAGCCUGAUCCAGCCAUGCCGCGUGUGUGAAGAAGGUCUUCGGAUUGUAAAGCACUUUAAGUUGGGAGGAAGGGCAGUAAGCGAAUACCUUGCUGUUUUGACGUUACCGACAGAAUAAGCACCGGCUAACUCUGUGCCAGCAGCCGCGGUAAUACAGAGGGUGCAAGCGUUAAUCGGAAUUACUGGGCGUAAAGCGCGCGUAGGUGGUUCGUUAAGUUGAAUGUGAAAGCCCCGGGCUCAACCUGGGAAAGGCAUCCAAAACUGGCGAGCUAGAGUAGGGCAGAGGGUGGUGGAAUUUCCUGUGUAGCGGUGAAAUGCGUAGAUAUAGGAAGGAACACCAGUGGCGAAGGCGACCACCUGGGCUCAUACUGACACUGAGGUGCGAAAGCGUGGGGAGCAAACAGG
rnacentral:rRNA from 1 species